rnacentral:rRNA from 1 species
GAACGCUGGCGGCGUGCCUAAUACAUGCAAGUCGAGCGCGGGAAGCGAGUGGAUCCCUUCGGGGUGAAGCUCGUGGAACGAGCGGCGGACGGGUGAGUAACACGUGGGCAACCUGCCUGUAAGACCGGAAUAACCCCGGGAAACCGGGGCUAAUGCCGGGUAAUACUUUUCUUCGCAUGAAGGAAAGUUGAAAGAUGGCUUCUUGCUAUCACUUACAGAUGGGCCCGCGGCGCAUUAGCUAGUUGGUGAGGUAACGGCUCACCAAGGCGACGAUGCGUAGCCGACCUGAGAGGGUGAUCGGCCACACUGGGACUGAGACACGGCCCAGACUCCUACGGGAGGCAGCAGUAGGGAAUCUUCCGCAAUGGACGAAAGUCUGACGGAGCAACGCCGCGUGAACGAUGAAGGUCUUCGGAUCGUAAAGUUCUGUUGUUAGGGAAGAACAAGUACCGUGCGAAUAGAGCGGUACCUUGACGGUACCUAACGAGGAAGCCCCGGCUAACUACGUGCCAGCAGCCGCGGUAAUACGUAGGGGGCAAGCGUUGUCCGGAAUUAUUGGGCGUAAAGCGCGCGCAGGCGGUUCCUUAAGUCUGAUGUGAAAGCCCACGGCUCAACCGUGGAGGGUCAUUGGAAACUGGGGAACUUGAGGACAGAAGAGGAGAGUGGAAUUCCACGUGUAGCGGUGAAAUGCGUAGAUAUGUGGAGGAACACCAGUGGCGAAGGCGACUCUCUGGUCUGUUUCUGACGCUGAGGUGCGAAAGCGUGGGUAGCAAACAGGAUUAGAUACCCUGGUAGUCCACGCCGUAAACGAUGAGUGCUAGGUGUUAGGGGGCUUCCACCCCUUAGUGCUGAAGUUAACGCAUUAAGCACUCCGCCUGGGGAGUACGGCCGCAAGGCUGAAACUCAAAGGAAUUGACGGGGGCCCGCACAAGCGGUGGAGCAUGUGGUUUAAUUCGAAGCAACGCGAAGAACCUUACCAGGUCUUGACAUCCUUGGACCACCCUAGAGAUAGGGUUUUCCUUCGGGGACCAAGGUGACAGGUGGUGCAUGGUU